rnacentral:rRNA from 1 species
UACAGAGGGCGCGAGCGUUAAUCGGAAUAACUGGGCGUAAAGGGCGCGUAGGCGGUUGUAUGAGUGUGAUGUGAAAGCCCUGGGCUUAACCUAGGAAGUGCAUCGCAAACGAUACAACUGGAGUAGUGGAGAGGGUAGCGGAAUUUCCGGUGUAGCGGUGAAAUGCGUAGAUAUCUGGAGGAACACCGGUGGCGAAGGCGGCAUCCUGGACCGAUACUGACGCUGAGGAGCGAAAGCCAGGGGAGCAAACGGG